rnacentral:rRNA from 1 species
CAAUAGCGUAUAUUAAAGUUGUUGCAGUUAAAAAGCUCGUAGUUGGAUUUCGGGAUGACAUCACUUGCCGGGCAAUGUCUGAGUGAGUUGAGUCAUUCUUCCUUCUGGAGGCCUAUUCUGUACUUAACUGUGCGGGGUAGGAAUUCAGGACUUUUACUUUGAAAAAAUCAGAGUGUUCAAAGCAGGCGUUUGCUUGAAUACAUUAGCAUGGAAUAAUGGAAUAGGACUUUGGUCUUAUUUUGUUGGUUUCUAGGACCGAAGUAAUGAUUAAUAGGGAUAGUUGGGGGCAUUCAUAUUUAAUUGUCAGAGGUGAAAUUCUUGGAUUUAUGAAAGAUGAACUUCUGCGAAAGCAUUUGCCAAGGAUGUUUUCAUUAA